GUCGCUGUCUGUCCCGUCCACCACGAAGAUGUUCACAGGAUAAUUGAGCGCGUUGCUAAGGUGGUCAGAGAGAACGGGCCCGGUAAUCGGUGUCUAUUUAUCAGUUCUCACCCCUGAAGCAUUCCUGGCCGGUCAGACUACCCUGGUUGACCUCGUGCAACAGGAGCCGAGUUAAUUCAGAUUCGUUACCACAAGACGGACUGCGUGGAGGAUUUACUACUUCAUUUAUUGGAAUCACUAAUAUUUAGAAGAAGGUGACAUCUUUAUAUGGUGUGCUUUUGGACAUCUGGGUGAUCUGGAUGCAAUUAGGAUGUGGAGUGAACUUAUGAACUUAUGUGGAGUGGACUAUGUCUUCAAUGGUCAUGAAGGUACUAUUAGGAUUCUCAUGUGGAGGGGACUAGGAUCUCAAUGGCUAUAAAGGUACUAUUAGGAUUCUCAUGUAGAGUGGACUAGAACCUCAAUGGCUAUAAAGGUACUAUUAGGAUUCUCAUGUGGAGGGGACUAGGACCUCAAUGGCUAUAAAGGUACUAUUAGGAUUCUCAUGUGGAGUGGACUAGGAACUCAAUGGCUAUAAAGGUACUCUUCACAUUUAGUACUUAAAUUCAUAGUGAUAGCUGAAGUCCACAGAUGUACAAGUUCAUAUGAUGUUACUUCAUUGGUGCAAUUAGGACUUUCAUGUGGAGUGCAAGAGGUCCUCAAUGGCCAUUAAGAUACUCAACAGUGAGUCAUAGUUGAAGUCCACAGAUGAUGUACAAGUUCACCUGAUGUUACUUCAUGAGUACAAUUAGGAUUCUUAUGUAAAGUGACAAGCUCCUCAAUGCCUAUUAAGAUACUCAACAAUGAGUCAUAAUUGAACUCCACAGAAGAUGUACAAGUUCACCUGAUGUUACUUCAUGAGUACAAUUAAGAUUCUUAUGUGAAAUGACUAGCUCCUCAAUGCCUAUUAAGAUACUCAACAUUGAGUCAUAGUUGAAGUCCACAGAAGAUGUACAAAUUCACUUGAUGUUACUUCAUGAGUACAAUUAGGAUUCUUAUGUAAAGUGACUAGCUCCUCAAUGCCUAUUAAGAUACUCAACAUUGAGUCAUAGUUGAAGUCCACAGAAG